AUGUGUUUGACAAGCGAAAGAACUUCAUCACAGCUGCAGAAGUUAGAACAUAACACCAGUCAUACAGCCAGUUCAGAACAAGCAGAAGUGAAAUAUGUCAGUUCAAAAGGAGACAAAACCUAUAAACCCAGAGGAAAACAUCCAUUCAAAGGUCAAGGGAAGAAACAGCAGAAGACUGUACAGCCAAAGAACAGUGCAAUGGUUAUUAAGUGCAAGUACUGUGGAGGCACACAUCCACGAGACAGAGACAAAUGCCCAGCUUUCGGACAUACAUGCUGGAAAUGUAAGAAGAAGAAUCACUUUCCAAAAGUUUGUAAACAGACUACUGUGAACAGUAUCCAAGAUGAAGACACAAGUGACUCGGACUCUGAUUCUCUAUAUGCUGUGAAUUCUUCGUCUGGAAAACAGUGGUUCGUAAAAAUCCACAUGAGUGCUAGUGGAAACAGUUCUAAUGUUACCUGUCAAUUGGAUAGUGGGUCUACCUGCAACGUAAUAAACUUUAGGCAGUACGCUCAAAUCAUGCAAACAGGCGACCCCCCACUGAAACCUACCGAGAAGACACUAAAGCUCUACGGAGGGAAAUCGAAACUCAUUCCACUUGGCAUUGCAACCUUGAAAUGCCGGGUGAUCCAGUCUGGAAAAACAGAAAAUCUUGACUUUUAUGUAGUCGAGAUGGACCAGACACCUAUCCUCUCAGCAGAAGCUUGUGAAAAACUUGGAUUACUCACUGUCAAUGUAGUUCACAAGCUGACAACUACGUCAUCACAAUUUAAGCCAUUGUCCAAGGAACAAAUUCUUGAUGAGUUCAAGGAUGUAUUUGAAGGACUCGUGAUCCAGUACUACAAACACUCAAGACUGUCAUACUUACCGGCUGGAAUGACCGUCAAGAAGAUGUCCCAGUAG
rnacentral:sRNA from 1 species